GGGAAUUUUCGUCAAUGGGCGCAAGCCUGAACGAGCGAUGCCGCGUGAGUGAAGAAGGCCUUCGGGUCGUAAAGCUCUGUUGCGGGGGAAAAAAGGCAGCAUCAGGAAAUGGGUGCUGACUGAUGGUGCCCCGCCAGAAAGUCACGGCUAACUACGUGCCAGCAGCCGCGGUAAUACGUAGGUGGCGAGCGUUAUCCGGAAUGAUUGGGCGUAAAGGGUGCGUAGGCGGCCUGCUAAGUCUGGAGUGAAAGGUACCGGCUCAACCGGUACAGGCUCUGGAAACUGGCGGGCUAGAGAGCAGGAGAGGGCGGUGGAACUCCAUGUGUAGCGGUAAAAUGCGUAGAUAUAUGGAAGAACACCAGUGGCGAAGGCGGCCGCCUGGCCUGUUGACUGACGCUGAGGCACGAAAGCGUGGGGAGCAAAUA
rnacentral:rRNA from 1 species